UACGGAGGGUGCGAGCGUUGUCCGGAAUUACUGGGCGUAAAGGGCGCGUAGGCGGCGCGGGUAGUCAUCGGUGAAAGUUCAGGGCUCAACUCUGAAUCGGCCGGUGAUACUCCCGUGCUCGAGCACUGUAGAGGCAGGUGGAAUUCCGGGUGUAGCGGUGGAAUGCGUAGAGAUCCGGAAGAACACCGGUGGCGAAGGCGGCCUGCUGGGCAGUAGCUGACGCUGAUGCGCGACAGCGUGGGGAGCAAACAGG
rnacentral:rRNA from 1 species